UCCUCGAUAGUAUAGUGGUCAGUAUCCCCGCCUGUCACGUGCGAGACUGGGGUUCAAUUCCCCGUCGGGGAG
rnacentral:tRNA from 1 species